rnacentral:rRNA from 1 species
GACGAACGCUGGCGGCGUGCUUAACACAUGCAAGUCGAACGGAAAGGCCCUGCUUUUGUGGGGUGCUCGAGUGGCGAACGGGCGAGUAACACGUGAGUAACCUGCCCUUGACUUUGGGAUAACUUCAGGAAACUGAGGCUAAUACCGGAUAGGAGCUCCUGCUGCAUGGUGGGGGUUGGAAAGUUUCGGCGGUUGGGGAUGGACUCGCGGCUUAUCAGCUUGUUGGUGGGGUAGUGGCUUACCAAGGCUUUGACGGGUAGCCGGCCUGAGAGGGUGACCGGCCACAUUGGGACUGAGAUACGGCCCAGACUCCUACGGGAGGCAGCAGUGGGGAAUAUUGCACAAUGGCGGAAGCCUGAUGCAGCAACGCCGCGUGCGGGAUGACGGCCUUCGGGUUGUAAACCGCUUUCGCCUGUGACGAAGCGUGAGUGACGGUAAUGGGUAAAGAAGCACCGGCUAACUACGUGCCAGCAGCCGCGGUGAUACGUAGGGUGCGAGCGUUGUCCGGAUUUAUUGGGCGUAAAGGGCUCGUAGGUGGUUGAUCGCGUCGGAAGUGUAAUCUUGGGGCUUAACCCUGAGCGUGCUUUCGAUACGGGUUGACUUGAGGAAGGUGGGGGAGAAUGGAAUUCCUGGUGGAGCGGUGGAAUGCGCAGAUAUCAGGAGGAACACCAGUGGCGAAGGCGGUUCUCUGGGCCUUUCCCGACGCUGAGGAGCGAAAGCGUGGGGAGCGAACAGGCUUAGAUACCCUGGUAGUCCACGCUGUAAACGGUGGGUACUAGGUGUGGGGUCCAUUCCACGGGUUCCGUGCCGUAGCUAACGCUUUAAGUACCCCGCCUGGGGAGUACGGCCGCAAGGCUAAAACUCAAAGGAAUUGACGGGGCCCCGCACAAGCGGCGGAGCAUGCGGAUUAAUUCGAUGCAACGCGUAGAACCUUACCUGGGUUUGACAUGGAUCGGGAGUGCUCAGAGAUGGGUGUGCCUCUUUUGGGGUCGGUUCACAGGUGGUGCAUGGCUGUCGUCAGCUCGUGUCGUGAGAUGUUGGGUUAAGUCCCGCAACGAGCGCAACCCUUGUUCACUGUUGCCAGCACGUUAUGGUGGGGACUCAGUGGAGACCGCCGGGGUCAACUCGGAGGAAGGUGGGGAUGACGUCAAGUCAUCAUGCCCCUUAUGUCCAGGGCUUCACGCAUGCUACAAUGGCUGGUACAGAGAGUGGCGAGCCUGUGAGGGUGAGCGAAUCUCGGAAAGCCGGUCUCAGUUCGGAUUGGGGUCUGCAACUCGACCUCAUGAAGUCGGAGUCGCUAGUAAUCGCAGAUCAGCAACGCUGCGGUGAAUACGUUCCCGGGGCU